AGUUGUAGCACCCUUUUGGUGCUACAUAAUAUAUUAUAUGUAGUAAAAAGGAUAAAACUCUAAUGAAGUACUACCCCCCCCCUUUUGUAGGGAUAUUGAAGGAGAAGGUCAGAGCAGAGAGUUUUUAUGACCUCCUGUACAGACUGAGAGAGAGUGAGCGAAAGAGAGAGCCAGUGGUCAGUUCUGGCUAGCGUGAGUAAGGGUCAGGUGGUCCUUAUUCCCAGAAAAUAAUGACAUGAAUGUCAUGAAUGACGUAGUAGUAUUUUGGGGAAAAGUUGAUGGGCUGUUCCAUCUCUGCUACCCUAAAGGGGUCAGCAAUUAUUGUUUACUGUUUUUUUUGUGUUAAAAGAGAUGACUUAGGAUCAAAAAGUAUUUUCAGUCAUAAAUAUACACACCCCUUCCCCAAAAUAAUGGUAUCAUCGAAAAUACCUUUAUAUAGAAGUUCUGGAGACAUCCUCUUCACAACUUUCGAGAUGGAGAGGAAACAUCCACCAUAAAGUUACUAUCAUGUAACUUCUCUUUUUUCCUGAUUCUCAGGUCACUGGUCGUCUGACCAUGAACAGCUUCUACAUUUUACUAUAUCUGCACUGAGACCCUCAAUGUCAUUAUGUUAGUCUUACUAUCAGUAGUUGUUUCACAACUGUUUUAAAGUUAUGUCCAGUUAAGUAAAUUUUAAGUAUAAUUUGAACUAUAUGUUCAUACCUGUUCAAGUAACUAUGUAACCAGGAGUUACACAAUUUUUUAUAACUGUAAAUAUCAUGUAUAUAAUGUUGAUUUAGUUUAGAAUUAAAGGAACAUAUAUCCUUUAUAUAAUGAGUAUGUUAGUUUAUUCUAUUGAGUAUUAUGAUUUACAUUAAUUAAUAGCAUAGUGUGAAUGUUGUUGAUUGAUGGUGUUUGAUUAUGUGAUGUGUGAUUAUUACAUAGUAAAAUAAUUACAACCUAAUAGUGUUUUAUUUAAGUUCUACCUCUGUAGACGGACAGGGUGGGGAUUCUUCGUUUAAAAACCCUUCCGCUGCACUGUUCUGUUA
rnacentral:lncRNA from 1 species